AUGAUGGCACCCGCGGGCGGACGGACAGACAGACGGAGCCACCAAGCGACCCGGCCGCAAGUGUCCGGAAACAGAAGAAUGGGAGUGUCAGUGGGGGAGUGUGACCGUGACGGCAGAGGCAAGGUCAGAGGACUGAAAAGAAAUUGAAAAGGAUUCUUCAUUAUGCUUCAUCUCUGCACUUGCCUUUUGGGCAUCAUCAACAUAGGAUUCAAAAGAUACUCAGCAUCAGAGCCGUAACAGUCUCGUGACUGACAAACUCUAAAUAAGUAUAGCAAAUAAUGAAUCCGCUAGCGAGUGGCUUUUCAUUCAUUUAUUCGUUUGAUUAAUGUUAUCUUUUCAAAAAAACCUUCUCUGACCAUUCUAAAAUUACCUCCCCCUUUUCUUUU
rnacentral:lncRNA from 10 species